rnacentral:rRNA from 1 species
GAUGAACGCUGGCGGCGUGCCUAAUACAUGCAAGUCGAGCGAACAGACGAGGAGCUUGCUCCUCUGACGUUAGCGGCGGACGGGUGAGUAACACGUGGAUAACCUACCUAUAAGACUGGGAUAACUUCGGGAAACCGGAGCUAAUACCGGAUAAUAUAUUGAACCGCAUGGUUCAAUAGUGAAAGACGGUUUUGCUGUCACUUAUAGAUGGAUCCGCGCCGCAUUAGCUAGUUGGUAAGGUAACGGCUUACCAAGGCAACGAUGCGUAGCCGACCUGAGAGGGUGAUCGGCCACACUGGAACUGAGACACGGUCCAGACUCCUACGGGAGGCAGCAGUAGGGAAUCUUCCGCAAUGGGCGAAAGCCUGACGGAGCAACGCCGCGUGAGUGAUGAAGGUCUUCGGAUCGUAAAACUCUGUUAUUAGGGAAGAACAAAUGUGUAAGUAACUAUGCACGUCUUGACGGUACCUACUCAGAAAGCCCCGGCUAACUACGUG